AUUGAACGCUGGCGGCAUGCCUUACACAUGCAAGUCGAACGGCAGCACGGGAGCAAUCCUGGUGGCGAGUGGCGAACGGGUGAGUAAAGUAACGGAACGUGCCCAGUCGUGGGGGAUAACGUAGCGAAAGUUACGCUAAUACCGCAUACGACCUAUGGAAGAAAGCGGGGGAUCGCAAGACCUCGCGCGAUUGGAGCGGCAGAUAUCAGAUUAGGUAGGUGGUGGGGUAAAGGCUCACCAAGCCGACGAUCUGUAGCUGGUCUGAGAGGACGACCAGCCACACUGGGACUGAGACACGGCCCAGACUCCUACGGGAGGCAGCAGUGGGGAAUUUUGGACAAUGGGCGAAAGCCUGAUCCAGCCAUGCCGCGUGCAGGAUGAAGGCCUUCGGGUUGUAAACUGCUUUUGUACGGAACGAAAAGGUUUGGCCUAAUAAGCUGAGCUCAUGACGGUACCGUAAGAAUAAGCACCGGCUAACUACGUGCCAGCAGCCGCCGUAA
rnacentral:rRNA from 1 species